rnacentral:tRNA from 1 species
GCGCACGUGGCGGAAUUGGUAGACGUGCAGGUCUCAGAAGCCUGUGCCUCGGGCGUGGGAGUUCGACUCUCCCCGUGCGCA